UACGUAGGGUGCAAGCGUUGUCCGGAAUUAUUGGGCGUAAAGAGCUCGUAGGCGGCUUGUCACGUCUGCUGUGAAAACUCGGGGCUCAACCCCGAGCCUGCAGUGGAUACGGGCUAGCUAGAGUGCGGUAGGGGAGACUGGAAUUCCUGGUGUAGCGGUGAAAUGCGCAGAUAUCAGGAGGAACACCGGUGGCGAAGGCGGUUCUCUGGGCCUGUACUGACGCUGAGGAGCGAAAGCGUGGGGAGCGGACAGG
rnacentral:rRNA from 1 species